UAUAAAAGCAGUCUCUACUCGCUCCCUGCUCUCUCUCCCUCUCACCAAAGGUAGCAUGCACCUCUCUCUCUCCCCCUCUCCCUCCCUCCCCAGGCACCUUUCUUUUUGAUUUGUCUACCCACCUCCACCAUUUCCCUUCCCUAAUGAAAACCGUCAUAGUGGGUUCCGUCGUCGUACCUUGUGUUUUCUUGAGCCCGGUAAAUAACAUCGGCACCAUGAUCAAACAGGCCCUCCUGGCUCCCUGCACAGGGAUCCUGAACUGAGGUUGGUUCGUCUGCAACUACUCGCUUUCCAUCUGCCCGGCUGCCGGAUCACUUCACACAACCCCGGCUACGUCAGUGCCAUGGGAAGCAAGGGCUCCGAUCCCAUAAGCCCCACAUUUCCUCCUGGAUGCCUUUUGGAAAUCUUCAAAUCUCUAAACUUAAUGCCCUACUCACAGACUUCUGAGCUUCUCCACCUCUGCACUAAAAAAUGGUCUAAAUAUCCUUCAAAUAAUAAAAAAAUGAUCACCUAA